UACGUGGGGUGCGAGCGUUAAUCGGAAUUACCGGGCGUAAAGCGUGCGCAGGCGGUUCGUUAUGUCCGAUGUGAAAGCCCCGAGCUCAACUUGGGAAUGGCAUUGGAAACUGGCGGGCUGGAGUGUGGCAGAGGGGGGUGGAAUUCCACGUGUAGCAGUGAAAUGCGUAGAGAUGUGGAGGAACACCGAUGGCGAAGGCAGCCCCCUGGGCCAACACUGACGCUCAGGCACGAAAGCGUGGGGAGCAAACAGG
rnacentral:rRNA from 1 species